rnacentral:rRNA from 1 species
GUCGAGCGGACAGAAGGGAGCUUGCUCCCGGAUGUUAGCGGCGGACGGGUGAGUAACACGUGGGUAACCUGCCUGUAAGACUGGGAUAACUCCGGGAAACCGGAGCUAAUACCGGAUAGUUCCUUGAACCGCAUGGUUCAAGGAUGAAAGACGGUUUCGGCUGUCACUUACAGAUGGACCCGCGGCGCAUUAGCUAGUUGGUGAGGUAACGGCUCACCAAGGCGACGAUGCGUAGCCGACCUGAGAGGGUGAUCGGCCACACUGGGACUGAGACACGGCCCAGACUCCUACGGGAGGCAGCAGUAGGGAAUCUUCCGCAAUGGACGAAAGUCUGACGGAGCAACGCCGCGUGAGUGAUGAAGGUUUUCGGAUCGUAAAGCUCUGUUGUUAGGGAAGAACAAGUGCAAGAGUAACUGCUUGCACCUUGACGGUACCUAACCAGAAAGCCACGGCUAACUACGUGCCAGCAGCCGCGGUAAUACGUAGGUGGCAAGCGUUGUCCGGAAUUAUUGGGCGUAAAGGGCUCGCAGGCGGUUUCUUAAGUCUGAUGUGAAAGCCCCCGGCUCAACCGGGGAGGGUCAUUGGAAACUGGGAAACUUGAGUGCAGAAGAGGAGAGUGGAAUUCCACGUGUAGCGGUGAAAUGCGUAGAGAUGUGGAGGAACACCAGUGGCGAAGGCGACUCUCUGGUCUGUAACUGACGCUGAGGAGCGAAAGCGUGG